AUUGAACGCUGGCGGCAUGCUUUACACAUGCAAGUCGAACGGUAACAGGUUAAGCUGACGAGUGGCGAACGGGUGAGUAAUGCAUCGGAACGUGCCCGAUCGUGGGGGAUAACACUUCGAAAGAAGUGCUAAUACCGCAUACGAUCUGAGGAUGAAAGCGGGGGACCGUAAGGCCUCGCGCGAUCGGAGCGGCCGAUGUCAGAUUAGGUAGUUGGUGGGGUAAAGGCUCACCAAGCCGACGAUCUGUAGCUGGUCUGAGAGGACGACCAGCCACACUGGGACUGAGACACGGCCCAGACUCCUACGGGAGGCAGCAGUGGGGAAUUUUGGACAAUGGGCGCUAGCCUGAUCCAGCAAUGCCGCGUGCAGGAAGAAGGCCUUCGGGUUGUAAACUGCUUUUGUACGGAGCGAAAAGGUCUCCUCUAAUACAGGGGGCUCAUGACGGUACCGUAAGAAUAAGCACCGGCUAACUACGUGCCAGCAGCCGCGGUAA
rnacentral:rRNA from 1 species